GGGUGUCGUUCAAUGGUAGGACGCGUGCUUCCCAAGCAUGAGACACGGGUUCGAUUCCCGUCACCC
rnacentral:tRNA from 1 species